rnacentral:rRNA from 1 species
CAAGUCGAACGAGAAAGUGGAGCAAUCCAUGAGUAAAGUGGCGUACGGGUGAGUAACACGUGGAUCAUCUGCCCUUUAGUGGGGAAUACCGCUGGGAAACCGGCGACAAUACCGCAUAAUCUCGAGAGAGGAAAGCAGCAAUGCGCUGAAGGAGGAGUCCGCGGUCGAUUAGCUAGUUGGUGAGGUAAUGGCUCACCAAGGCUGUGAUCGAUAGCCGGCCUGAGAGGGCACACGGCCACACUGGCACUGAAACACGGGCCAGACUCCUACGGGAGGCAGCAGUGGGGAAUCUUGCACAAUGGGGGAAACCCUGAUGCAGCGACGCCGCGUGAGCGAUGAAGCCCUUCGGGGUGUAAAGCUCUUUCGGCAGGGAAGAUUAUGACGGUACCUGCAGAAGCAGCUGCGGCUAACUACGUGCCAGCAGCCGCGGUAAUACGUAGGCAGCAAGCGUUGUUCGGAGUUACUGGGCGUAAAGGGUGCGUAGGCGGCUCUAUAAGUAUGGUGUGAAAUCUCCCGGCUUAACUGGGAGGGUGCGCUAUAGACUGUGGGGCUAGAGUGUGGGAGAGGAAAGUGGAAUUCCUGGUGUAGCGGUGAAAUGCGUAGAUAUCAGGAGGAACACCGGUGGUGUAAACGGCUUUCUGGACCAUAACUGACGCUGAGGCACGAAAGCGUGGGUAGCGAACAGGAUUAGAUACCCUGGUAGUCCACGCCCUAAACGAUGCAUAUUUGGUGUGGGUCAUUCAGUUGAUCCGUGCCGGAGCUAACGCGUUAAAUAUGCCGCCUGGGGAGUACAGUCGCAAGGCUGAA